CUGCGGACGGCUCAGUAUAUCAGUUAUAAUCUGCUCGAUUGUUAUGGUUAUUGGAUAACCGUGGGAAAUCUAGAGCUAAUACAUGCUAUAAUGUUGGGUGUGGUUCGCUGCAUUCAGCCGCAUUUAUUAGAGAAUACCAAUCGCAUGAGCAAUCAUGUGUGGUGAAUCUAGAUAACUUUGCUGAUCGCAUGGCCUUUGAGCCGGCGACAUUUCGAUUGAGUUUCUGCCCUAUCACCUUGAUGCUAGUGUAUUGAACUAGCAUGGGAGUAACGGGUAACGGAGGAUCAGGUUCGAUCCCGGAGAGGGAGCCUUAGAAACGGCUACCACAUCCAAGGAAGGCAGCAGGCGCGCAAAUUACCCAAUCCAGACAAUGGGAGGUGGUGACGAAGAGUACCGGAUGACUGAUAUAUUAUUAGUCAGUCUGGAAUGAAAUCAAUUUAAGCAAUUGAGUUGAGUAACUACUGGAGGGCAAGUCUGGUGCCAGCAGCCGCGGUAAUUCCAGCUCCAGUAGCGUGUCUCAAAGUUGCUGCGCUUAAAACGCUCGUAGUUGGAUGAGAAUCUAUAUAUCGGAUAGUUAUCUACUAGAUUUAAGGCUAAUUAUUACUUAUUUCCGUGAUGCUUAUGGUAUCCGGACAAUAUUGAUAUUGGUUCAGCUAGUGAUAACAUUAAACUGGUAUGUAGUAAUUGCGUAUGAGGAUGACCAUUGACCUUAAGUGUGUUGAAGGUCGUGUCUCAUGGGAUGUGCUUGAGUAAAUCAGAGUGCUCAAAGCAGGCGUGAUGCCUGAAUGUUGAUAGCAUGGAACGAACAAUAGUGUAGAUGUGUAUUGAAGAUGGUAGUGUAUUAUUACAAUGUAAUAGUAUACUACUACAAUAUGCAACACCGACCGCCAAUUACGGAUGUUGGUUCCGUAUUGGGGUACUGAUUAAGAGGAGCGGUUGGGGGCAUUGGUAUUUGGCAGCGAGAGGUGAAAUUCUUGGACCUGCACAAG
rnacentral:rRNA from 1 species